rnacentral:rRNA from 1 species
AGUGAACGCUGGCGGUAGGCCUAACACAUGCAAGUCGAACGGCAGCACAGUAAGAGCUUGCUCUUACGGGUGGCGAGUGGCGGACGGGUGAGGAAUACAUCGGAAUCUACUUUUUCGUGGGGGAUAACGUAGGGAAACUUACGCUAAUACCGCAUACGACCUACGGGUGAAAGCAGGGGAUCUUCGGACCUUGCGCGAUUGUAUGAGCCGAUGUCGGAUUAGCUAGGUGGCGGGGUAAAGGCCCACCAAGGCGACGAUCCGUAGCUGGUCUGAGAGGAUGAUCAGCUACACUGGAACUGAGACACGGUCCCGACUCCUACGGGAGGCAGCAGUGGGGAAUAUUGGGCGAUGCGCGAAAGCCUGAUCCAGCAAUACCGCGUGGGUGAAGAAGGACUUCGGGUGGUAAAGCCAUGUUGUUGGGAAAGAAAAGCAGCAGGUUAAUACGCCGCUGUUCUGACGGUACCCAAAGAAUAAGCUCCGGCUAACUUCGUG